CAGUAGCCGCGGUAAUACGAAGGGUGCAAGCGUUACUCGGAAUUACUGGGCGUAAAGCGUGCGUAGGUGGUGGUUUAAGUCCGUUGUGAAAGCCCUGGGCUCAACCUGGGAAUUGCAGUGGAUACUGGAUCACUAGAGUGUGGUAGAGGAUAGUGGAAUUUCCGAUGUAGCAGUGAAAUGCGUAGAGAUCGGAAGGAACAUCUGUGGCGAAGGCGACUAUCUGGGCCAACACUGACACUGAGGCACGAAAGCGUGGGGAGCAAACAGGAUUAGAUACCCCCGUAGUCCCUGUCUCUUAUAC
rnacentral:rRNA from 1 species